rnacentral:rRNA from 1 species
AUUGAACGCUGGCGGCAGGCCUAACACAUGCAAGUCGAGCGAGCGGCGGACGGGUGAGUAAUGUCUGGGAAACUGCCUGAUGGAGGGGGAUAACUACUGGAAACGGUAGCUAAUACCCCAUACCAUCAGAUGUUCCCCGAUGGGAUUAGCUAGGGGGUGAGGUAACGGCUCACCUAGGCGACGAAGCCUAGCGGGACUGAGAGGAUGACCAGCCACACUGGAACUGAGACACGGUCCAGACUCCUACGGGAGGCAGCAGUGGGGAAUAUUGCACAAUGGGCGCAAGCCUGAUGCAGCCAGGCCGCGUGUGUGAAGAAGGCCUUCGGGUUGUAAAGCACUUUAAGUUGGGAGGCGUUACCUACAGAAUAAGCACCGGCUAACUUCGUGCCAGCAGCCGCGGUAAUUC